rnacentral:rRNA from 1 species
UACGAGUGCCCCGAGCGUUAUCCGGAAUUAUUGGGCGUAAAGGGUGUGUAGGCGGUUGUGUUAGUCUUCCGUUAAAUUCUUCGGCUCAACCGGGGGCAUGCGGGGGAAACGGCACGACUAGAGGAUGCGAGAGGUCUGUGGAACUCUAGGUGUAGGGGUGAAAUCCGUUGAUAUCUAGGGGAACACCAAAAGCGAAGGCAGCAGACUGGCGCAUUCCUGACGCUGAAACACGAAAGCGUGGGUAGCGAAUGGG